rnacentral:rRNA from 1 species
GUUAAGUGGGAAACGAUGUGGGAAGGCACAGACAGCCAGGAUGUUGGCUUAGAAGCAGCCAUCAUUUAAAGAAAGCGUAAUAGCUCACUGGUCGAGUCGGCCUGCGCGGAAGAUGUAACGGGGCUAAACCAUGCACCGAAGCUGCGGCAGCGACGCUUAUGCGUUGUUGGGUAGGGGAGCGUUCUGUAAGCCGUUGAAGGUGGCCUGUGAGGGUUGCUGGAGGUAUCAGAAGUGCGAAUGCUGACAUAAGUAACGAUAAAGCGGGUGAAAAGCCCGCUCGCCGGAAGACCAAGGGUUCCUGUCCAACGUUAAUCGGGGCAGGGUGAGUCGACCCCUAAGGCGAGGCCGAAAGGCGUAGUCGAUGGGAAACAGGUUAAUAUUCCUGUACUUGGUGUUACUGCGAAGGGGGGACGGAGAAGGCUAUGUUAGCCGGGCGACGGUUGUCCCGGUUUAAGCAUGUAGGCGGAGGUUCCAGGUAAAUCCGGUACCUUUUAACGCUGAGGUGUGAUGACGAGGCACUACGGUGCUGAAGUAACAAAUGCCCUGCUUCCAGGAAAAGCCUCUAAGCAUCAGGUAACACGAAAUCGUACCCCAAACCGACACAGGUGGUCAGGUAGAGAAUACCAAGGCGCUUGAGAGAACUCGGGUGAAGGAACUAGGCAAAAUGGUGCCGUAACUUCGGGAGAAGGCACGCUGAUAUGUAGGUGAAGCCCCUGCGGGUGGAGCUGAAAUCAGUCGAAGAUACCAGCUGGCUGCAACUGUUUAUUAAAAACACAGCACUGUGCAAACACGAAAGUGGACGUAUACGGUGUGACGCCUGCCCGGUGCCGGAAGGUUAAUUGAUGGGGUUAGCGGCAACGCGAAGCUCUUGAUCGAAGCCCCGGUAAACGGCGGCCGUAACUAUAACGGUCCUAAGGUAGCGAAAUUCCUUGUCGGGUAAGUUCCGACCUGCACGAAUGGCGUAAUGAUGGCCAGGCUGUCUCCACCCGAGACUCAGUGAAAUUGAACUCGCUGUGAAGAUGCAGUGUACCCGCGGCAAGACGGAAAGACCCCGUGAACCUUUACUAUAGCUUGACACUGAACACUGGUCCUUGAUGUGUAGGAUAGGUGGGAGGCUUUGAAGCGUGGACGCCAGUCUGCGUGGAGCCAACCUUGAAAUACCACCCUUUAAUGGCUGGUGUUCUAACGUAGACCCGUAAUCCGGGUUGCGGACAGUGUCUGGUGGGUAGUUUGACUGGGGCGGUCUCCUCCCAAAGAGUAACGGAGGAGCACGAAGGUUAGCUAAUCCUGGUCGGACAUCAGGAGGUUAGUGCAAUGGCAUAAGCUAGCUUGACUGCGAGAGUGACGGCUCGAGCAGGUGCGAAAGCAGGUCAUAGUGAUCCGGUGGUUCUGAAUGGAAGGGCCAUCGCUCAACGGAUAAAAGGUACUCCGGGGAUAACAGGCUGAUACCGCCCAAGAGUUCAUAUCGACGGCGGUGUUUGGCACCUCGAUGUCGGCUCAUCACAUCCUGGGGCUGAAGUAGGUCCCAAGGGUAUGGC